GUUCUGCAGUUCCCAAAUAACAUUAGUUUUUUUCAGUUCAUUUCUUCAGUGAUUUCCUCUACCAUUUCUUUUAAAUUCUCCCCAGAACAGAAAAUAUUCGUGUCAUCAGUAAACAACACCAGUUUGAGUAUCUGACACCUUACAAAUAUCAUUAAUAUACAAUUUAAAUAGUUUGAACCCCAACACUGACCCCUGUGGUACCCCACAAACAAUGUCCAAACAUUCAGAACUGACAUCACCCAUCUUAACAAACUGCUGUCUCUGUUGUAAAUAGCUUCUAAUCCAGUCUGAUACAAUACCUCUGAUGCCAUAUCUUUUCAGUUUUU